AACGAACGCUGGCGGCAUGCCUAACACAUGCAAGUCGAACGAGACCUUCGGGUCUAGUGGCGCACGGGUGCGUAACGCGUGGGAACCCGCCUUUAGGUUCGGAAUAACUCAGAGAAAUUUGAGCUAAUACCGGACGAUGUCUUCGGACCAAAGAUUUAUCGCCUUUAGAUGGGCCCGCGUUGGAUUAGCUAGUUGGUGGGGUAAAGGCCUACCAAGGAGACGAUCCAUAGCUGGUCUGAGAGGAUGAUCAGCCACACUGGGACUGAGACACGGCCCAGACUCCUACGGGAGGCAGCAGUGGGGAAUAUUGGACAAUGGGCGAAAGCCUGAUCCAGCAAUGCCGCGUGAGUGAUGAAGGCCUUAGGGUUGUAAAGCUCUUUUACCCGAGAUGAUAAUGACAGUAUCGGGAGAAUAAGCUCCGGCUAACUCCGUG
rnacentral:rRNA from 1 species